UACGUAGGGUGCGAGCGUUGUCCGGAAUUAUUGGGCGUAAAGAGCUCGUAGGCGGUGUGUUACGUCGGCCGUGAAAACCUGCAGCUUAACUGUGGGCGUGCGGUCGAUACGGGCAUCACUGGAGUUCGGCAGGAGAGACUGGAAUUCCUGGUGUAGCGGUGAAAUGCGCAGAUAUCAAGUGGAACACCAGUGGCGAAGGCGAGUCUCUGGACAUUUCCUGACGCUGAGGCACGAAAGCCAGGGGAGCAAACGGG
rnacentral:rRNA from 1 species